UGACAUCAUUAAUCAAGAUUUUACAGUUUACAACUACAACAACAGAUUGUCGAACACAAAUUUUGUCUUUGAGGAGGUUGGAUCAUACGAGAACAAUAUGCUCACAUUAGAGAAACAAAAAAUCAGAAUGUAUGAUGCUUCCGGUUCAAAUAUUGACGUAACUUCCUCCUGUCCUGCUGAGGGAUGUCGAUACUGCAUGAUGCCUCCCAGCUCCACGGAUUUCUAUUACAAUCCUGGGGACAUCAAUAUUGGCGUGGCUUUAUCAGCUCAUAACGCUGGAAACGAGAGAUACUCCUGUGAUGGUGAUAACCCUUAUGGUAUGGCCCAGGCCUUGGCCAUCCAGUACGCUAUAGAGAAUCUAAAUGUUGACAUGCCGGGCAUUCUCAACAAUGUACGCCUUGGCACGGUUAUGCUUGAUGUUUGUGAGAACCCCGACGUAGCUUCACUAUUUUUUCAACAAUUUACUCGGAAAUCGAGAAAUUGUGAGAGAUAAAUAUGGACGAAUGGUAGACCCAAACUCCGUGAAAGCAAUCAUCGAGGGGUUAAGUAAUGCAGGAGCUAUGUCCUUUUCGAAAGGUAUCCAGAUGUACGGAUUGCCUCAAGUGGGCACGGUAGCUUCCAGCACAAUUCUGAUGGACCAUACCAAAUACCCACUCUACAGCAGAACAGUGGAGAGUAAUUAUUACCAGUCCAUUGCCAUGGCCAAUUUCUUCGUGAAGAAAGGCUGGUAUUAUAUACAGGCUGUAUACUCUUCUUCAAUGCGCCAGGAUUUAGAUAUGUUAAAAACUGUAUUGGCGGAUUUUAAUAUCUGCCUGACUGCUGAGUAUGAAGUUACUGACCACGGAAACGAAGGAAUGAUCCUCAAUAAAGUUAGAUCAAAUCCCCAUGCAAAAGUCGUUGUCAUGUUUUUAGAGAAAAGUGACAUCAAAGAGAUGCUUGAAACCAUUAAGGCAGCCACCUGGGAUCAAGGCUUUGUAAUCGUUGGUGGGGAAUCAUGGGGGAGUGAUAACCUUAACUUGCUAGGACUCGAGGAUGUUGCCAAUGGAAUUAUAACAUUCCAGCCACAGAUUGGUCAAACGUCAAACUUUCAAAACUGGAUCAACCAGAAACAGCCCAGAACAGCUAUGCAUAUUCCCUGGUUCAGAGAACUGUAUGAAAACGCUUUCCAGUGUUAUGUUGAUGCUGGUUCUAAGGGCGAUUUCAAUAACGAGUGCCCGAGCCCCGGACAAGGUUUGUCCAAUUCUCCGCUAUAUGAGUUUUGGUACCAAAUGACGACAUCAAUUAACGCUGUCUACGUCACUGCAAAGGCCCUUGACGAAACCCUGAAGCAUUAUUGUGGGGCUACAUAUUCUGGAGUGUGUGUUGAAUAUCGCGCUGCAAACGACUCGAACAAAAUUUUAUUGCAAAAAAUCAGGAGUGCCACAUUUAGUUUGAGCUCAUCUUACCAGUUUACUAUGUACAACGGGGAAGCUCAUACAGGCGUUGAAAUCUUGAACUACAGACGAGGACAAAAGUAUGUCUCGGUUGGGCUUUACAACUCGAUAUCAGGAGUUUUAACGAUAUCAGACAACACACUGACAUAUCCGUCCUCUAUCCAGCCAGCUACAGUUUCCUCCUUAUGUCCAGGUGUUUGUGCAGAAUGCUCCUAUUUGACAAAAUCAAAAUACACGUAUGAAGCUGGUGACGUCACAAUUGGCGGCGUUUUUGGACUGCAUAGUGCUAAUGAAAUGUAUCCUACUUUGUGUGGAAAUAUCAACGUCGACAAUGGCGUGCAAUUUGGUCUAGCUAUGCAUUACGCAAUAUAUAUGAUUAACAACAAAAUGGCCCCAGUUUCCUUGAAUGAUAUAAAGGUCGGCGGACUUUCACUUGAUCAUUGCAGUAUUCCGUUAAGACCUGGAGAACUCAUUUCGCAAGUAUAUACUCAAACAGGUCCCUUGUCCGACUCUGACAGGAUGGAAUUAGACACUUCUGGAAUCUUAGGAUGGAUCACAGACAACACUGCGGCUGUAAAAAGUGCUGCCACGGUGACAAAUACUCUAGACAUUCCUCUUGUUAGUCCCUUAGCAUCCAGUGCGGCUUUCCAGGACAAAGACGAAUAUCCAAACUUCUUCAGAACAAUCCAAGGCGACGUGACGAUAUCUGCUGCUAUUGCCAAACUAGCAAAAUCUUUGUCAUACAAUUAUGUUAACGUAAUAUACUCCUCUGAUUCGUUUGGUAAAGGUGGCGUCGAAACGUUUGAAGCAGUGGCAGUGCAAGAAGAAAUCUGCAUACUUCAGAAGCUAAUGGUGUCCCCAUCAAUGAACGCUUCACAAAUAUUACGACUGAUUUCAUUCAGCACAAGCUCUGUGACCGUUCUUUGGACAAAUGGUGCCGACACCAGGUCUAUUUUCAGUGCUAAAAACGUCAGCAGUGGAGCUUAUGGAAACCUUGUCUUUAUUUCCUCAAUGCCAUAUAUGAAUUUGGCAAAAUCAUACGGUAAAAGUUCUUCUAAGACGUUCUUUUUCAACAUCAAGACCAAAAACGAUCCUGGCUACAUCAAUUUCAUGCAAGCAAUUUCCAUUGACGAAAUCUUGAAGAAUUCGUUCCUUUACGAGUACUACACCAAACUCUUUCAAUGUAAUCUUCCAGGAAUAAACAUGUAUAAUACCCACUGCCCCCAGCCGUACGCCAGUCUAACAUCCGCCCCAGGGUUUGCACAGGAUAAUUACGUGGUACCCACAAUAAAUGCAGUGUAUUCAUUAGUGGGCGCAAUGGACGCGGUCUUAAAGGACAAAUGUGGGCAAAACUACAAAGGCAUAUGCGCGGCCUACUCGUCAACACCUAACAUUAACCGAGUGAUCAUGGACAAAAUGGAGAGCAUCUCUUUCAGAGACCCCCUUGGUAAUAACUUUGAAUAUAUUGAUCGUGAAGGCAAUAUGGGUAUGGACGUGAUAUACCUCAACAACGAUGAUUUGGCAACGAUUGGAGAAUUCGCCGGGGCGUCCUUGCGUUUACAAGCUUUCAUUCCACCAGAAGUAUCUCCUCCAACCUGCCCACCUCCUUGUCAACAGUGCAUUCAGAAAAAAAUCGAGUUCACCUACAUACCAGGAGACAUCCUCAUUGGAGGUUUAUUUGACGUACACGAAAACAGCUUUGUGCCUUUUUCAUGCGGUAACCUGAAUAUACAAGGAGGAUUCCAGCUUCUUGAGGCCUUCAACUACGCCAUCGGUGAAGUAAACGAUAAAACUGGACCGUUCCAGAAUGUUCUAAAGAACGUCAAACUUGGUGGAAUCGGUUUAGAUGCCUGCCAGAGCUCCAUACGAAUGGGCUAUUUGGUGUCUGAUGUCCACAACGGUAUAAUCAAGCUCACAAGGAAUGGGAUCACCGUCAAUCCUGAUGAUAUUCGUUUGUAUGUUGGAGGCGGAUCCAGCGACAGUUCCGUGUAUCUGGCACGACUGUUGAAAUCCUUAAAGAUUCCCCAGAUAAGCUACAUGUCCAGUAGUGACUCGUUGUCUGAUCAAGACAGAUACCCUUAUUUCAUGAGGACAGUCCCAGCCGACGACAAGCAGUCCCUAGCAAUGGUCGAAUUUCUGAAUAAAAACAAUAUCAGAUAUGUUCAAAUUGUUCAUUCCCCUAGUGACUACGGGAAAAUGGGAGCUAAAAAUUUCGAGUAUCUUGCUGGACAGAGUAAAAUAUGCGUUGCUCAGACCGUAGAGUUUCCCGAUAAUUCAUCUGUUACACAGGAAAGCGCUGAUAAAGUUGUCAGAUCUUUGCUUGAGAAACCUGUCGCCAAUACAGUUAUUGUCUACGCCGGUGUCAAAUACAUCAACGAAAUGCUUAAAGCAAUGACCAGAAAUGCUGGAGCAGAAGGCAAGUUCAAAUUCAUUGGCUCUGAAACAUGGGGAAAUAAUUACGGUGCAAUAUCAGGAGUGGAGAGACUAGCUAAGGGAUCCGUUACUUUAACUCUUGAAUCAUCAGAUAUUAGAGACUUUGACACCCAUAUUGGAGAAAAAUCUCCAGGAAAUUAUCCCGAAAAUCCAUGGUUCCCUGAGUUUUACGAAGAAAUGGUAAACUGUUAUCUAACUGUCCCAACUAAUAGACACCAGACGCCAUGCCUCUCUCAAACAAUGAACAUUGCUGCUCAGCGUGACUACAUUCAAGACCCUGGCAUUCUCCAUGUCAUCAACGCAGUCUUUUCUGCCGCUUACGGCUUAGAUGACACUCUGAAAACUCUGUGUGGCGUGAACUAUACAACAGUCUGCGAACAGUUUAAAAAUAAUCGUAAUCGUCACAACCUUCUGGUUCAGAGCGUGUUAAAGUCUAGCUUUGUAGAUCCUUCAGGAGUUACCUUCAGCUUCAGGCCAGAUCGACGGGAUGGAAAUAAGGGUUAUGUUUUGUAUGACCUAAAAGAACGUAUGUCUAUGAAUGAGCUGGGAUACACUUAUGAAAAGAUUGGUAAAUUCUCCAGUCAAGAUGUCCUGUCCUUGGAUGCAGGCUACAGAGCGGGUUGGGAUGGCAGCUGUGAAAGACAAGGAUCCUGCUCUGAAUGUCCAACUGUUCGAAAUGCAUUACAGAGGUACAUGCUUCAGCCAGCAAAGGACCAGUCUACCGAUGGUGCCACCCUUCUGGCCGUACUUCCAAUCCACAAGCAAGGAACGGACCCAUAUCUUUGCGGUCAGCUUGAUAUGGAUGUAUUUUACAAUGCCCUGGCGUUUAUAUAUACAUUGGAUACCUAUUUCCCGACGACCAAGUAUAAGCUUCGGGGUCUUGUCGUGGAUAGCUGCUCCAACAACUUGCGAGUGGACCAAGAUCUUUAUAGUUUGUUUUCAAAAGGACGGCUUUGCAAUACCGCCUUCUCCUUCGAUGGAAACGUAAACAACAAAACCCUUGCUGGUGUCAUUACUAGUACAACAAACCACGUUAUUGCAGCAAAUAGAGUUCUGUCUCCUCUCAAGGUACCCAUUCUAAGCAACAGCGCGACAUCUACCGUUCUCAGCGAUAAAGAUAGUUAUCCUUAUUUUGCAAGAACCGUUCCACCAGAUAACAUGCAAAUCGAUGUGAUUGUUAGACUUUUAAAAGAAAAGAACUGGGACUCGGCCUCUGUAAUAUACAGUGCUGAUACUUAUGGUAAAAACUUAUAUGAUUAUUUCUUGACCCGAGCAAAGGCAACUCAAACAUGUGCUGGUGCCCAAAUCGCGAUUCCAACUCUGGCAACUGUGGAACAAGCAAAGAAUGCAAUUAAUUACAUAGAGAGUAAUUCCAAAUCGAAAGUCAUCAUUCUAAUGGCCAGUGAUCCAAGAACUGUACUACAAGCGGCAAAAGAACUGAAUGUACUUGACAAGUAUGUAUGGAUUGGAACAGAUUCCUGGGGAACCAGUGCGAAAGUUGUCCAAGGGAUGGAAGACGAUCUUCUGGGUUCAAUCACUAUUGAAAUGCGUUCAACCACUGUACAAAAAUUCGGCAAAUACGUAAGCGAAUUAAAAUACAAUGCUCGCAAAGGAAUUCCAGACGACUGGUUCGAGGAGUUUUACCAGAUGUUCCAUCGCUGUAACAUAAAAACCGCCAAGGUCCAAUUUCCACAAUAUCCGGACUGUACAGAGCAAGAGGCGAUAGACUUUACUCAAAUAGUAUCCCAGCCAUUCGUUCUCAACACUAUUGCUGCUACGUAUGCUUAUGCGAGAGCCAUAGAAGCUGUGUCCACUGGGAUGUGCACUUCACAUGCUUCGUUUGGAUCAUGUUUCAGCGAUGAGACUGCUUGGAAUAGACUGUUUGAAAAUAUUUUGAAUGUAGAUUGGAGUCUUUCAGCUAGUUUGGAACUCACUCAAACCUUUAUUUUGAGAUUUACAAAUGACCGUUUUUGGGACAUUGGUUACAACAUCAACAGUUUCGUAGAUUCGUCAGGACUUCCCAAGUACACAAACAUUGGGAGCAUGCUGAACCAACAGUUUUUGUUCUCUGCAGACUAUAACACUUACAAAGGAAACGAUUGGUCGGCUUGUCGUAGUUCAGAGGUUUGCGAUUGCUCAGCUCCUGUCGUAAACGCUUUAACAGGCAACGAUACAAUGAGGCGCACAAAAGUAGCGGAACCGAGAAACUACCUCUUCUACAAUAUCAUGAAUACAACAAUUAACAACCAGUUUGUUCCCAUAUACGAUUUAACGUACAAAUGGCCGAUUUGGGCUAUUUCUGUGGCGGUUCCUACGUGCGUAGGAUUGUUCAUUACCAUUUUCCUAUUUUUGUACCUUUUGAUUUUCUAUGAAAUCAAAGGAGGCACAACUCUUCUUGGUUUCAUGAUGAUGCUUGGUAUUAUGGGUAUUUACGCCCUCAACUUUGCCUUCUUCCUUCCGGCUGCUACGGAUACUUGUGGCGCAAGGCAGUUCUGUUUGGGAGUAGUGUACGCAAUCGUAUUUGCUGCCCUUCUCGUGAAAGCUGUGGAUAACUGGCGAAUCGUUGAGAGCGUAGAAUAUGACAACAAACAAUUGAUAAACGAAAAGUACAAAGGGCUCACGAACAAAAUAGUUUUACUUCUUAUGGCAAUAGGAAUAGUUUGUGUCCAGCUCAUCAUUCCUAUCCAAUGGCUGGUCCAUCGUCCACCCUCCGCUAGUUUGAUGUCCGAAGCCACAGAGAUCCACGAUUGGAUGAUGUGUGAUCCGCAUGACGUGUACGACGAGGCGUUAGUGAUGUCCAUGAUUUUUGUCAUGUUCUUGGUCCUGCUGACCGGAAUAUUCUCUGCCAUGUCAUGGGACAAUGGAAACAACAACUACGAAUCUCGCUGGAUCCUGGUGUGCAGUGUGUGUACUGCUGGCUGUUUCCUGGUGUGGAUGAUCGUCAUAACGAACGCAUCACCACCCUACCGUGAUGGAGCGGAGAAAAACCUGCAUCAGUUAUCGAUGAUAGAGGCAACGAGCUGUAUUCCACGGUGUUUUCAAAUGCGGGCUAUGACAAUGAUGACGCAGUCUUCCAGCCAUCUUCUCCAAGACAAAGUGAACUCGAUAAUGGGGAUGUUGGAUUCUGAUGAUUUAGUGCUUAAAAAUUCAAAAGUGCUACCAUGGUAUUUGGGGCCAAGAUGAAUUUCAAUGUCUCACUUGCGCCAUCUACAAAGGGAAGACAAUUGCCGAUUUUCUUAAAACAUGAGAACUCUUGUGACGUUGUCUUCAUCGUUUUGAUAAGCUUGAUAGGAACAUAUAGAUAGAGACUUUGUUUUGAUUUGUUUGGAUUUUUUGAAUGGGUAACGCGUUCAAUAUCUGCUAUAAACUUGUACCUUGCCAUGUUAUUACAGUAUGAUGUAGCUUGACUACAGAAAGCAGGAAAUCUCAAUAUUGACUAGAAAACUGUUUCAUUAAUUAUAAUUAGAUAAUAAAUGCCAUUUUUGUAUGUGAGAUUUAGAAUGUGUGUGUAUUUGUGGGUGUCUAAGAGUGCUGAAACCGGCCCGUGUGAAUCUUCAUUCUUUAGAUCACAUUUUGAAGGGAUGUUACGAAAAUGUGGACAGCAGGAUUCAAACUUUGUUAAUAUAUAAUUUUGUACCAUUACAUUAUUGUGAUAUAUAUUUUUUACACAAUAAAUAUAUUUUGUAUUCUUUUCUUUAUUUGUUUGUAUAAUAUAUGAUAAAAGAGAUAAAUUUUUCAUAUUCAAGACCGA
rnacentral:misc_RNA from 1 species